rnacentral:rRNA from 1 species
CAAGCCGACCAAGGCGGGGUUUAGGCAUGUACAGUAAAGGCUAGAGUAGAGCAAAACCUGAUCAACAAGACGACAAAGCCAUCAACGAGAGGCAGGCACGGAACUAGGAUAAGACCGAGCACCGGCAGCGGCCGCCCUUGGCCCCGUAAAGGGCCGCUGAAAACCCAGAAAACGCACGGAAAAACCACGCACGCACGACUGUUUUUAGGCUCGAUCCCAAACACAACCCCUAUAUUUGAGUGAAAAUUACAAUAAAGCACCACUUAUCUACGACGACGACACCGGAUCAACUCCAUUAUCGUCGCACUAAAACAGGCAGCACCGUAAGUAUUGUACAUCCGCAUUUAUGCUUUCUCGUAUAUUCACAUGUCGUGUAACGUGGCGUCGCCACGAUGACUUAACUCGUUCUUCAUAAAUGCGUCCCACGUUCACAAGGCUCGGUAAGGUCACCCUAAAUCAACCUACUAGUACCGUUAAGACGUCCACAUGAACGACAAUCUUACCUUGUAUAACCUAACGAUAGAAACUAGCCUACGAAGAUUAAACAAUGAGGAAUACAUUAUCGCUGUAUGAGAUCGCUUUAAUCGUAGAACUAGUGUGAAAAUACCGUAAAAAAUAGGACAGUCUCUGCGAACGCUUCAUCCCGGGACCACACAUUUAAAGAAUUAAGAUGAAGUCUAAUCUAACCACUGAGCCACAAUCACAUACGAGACAAGAUUGAAGAUGAAUGGCUAGACCUAAGGACCUAAACUCAUGGCUCAUGUUGAAAAACCGAGUCUUACGUAUACAGUACAUAGUGUUAAAAUCAAGAGGUUUUUUAUUAUAGUAACAACAAAUGAGCGGACCGAGACCGCUGAGUCCCCGCUUUUGGAUCGCGGCGGUGGUGGGGAGGGGGGUGGGGGAGGGUAGAGCGGCGACGGUCUCCAAAGGCGGCCGUUUCGAGCGCGACCUGGGUCCCUGCCGCCGCCGCCCCGCAGAGAGAGUUAGGUCCAUCGUCCCGAGCCGCUGCGCUCCGGGAGACGGCCGCCGCGUAGACCGGCACCAGCCACCGCCAGAGUAGGCCGCGCUCGACGGAGUGCCACCACCAACGCUCCGCCACCGCCCGCCGACACGACGCCGCCACACCGCCGGCCACCUGGACCACUGGACCUAGACCUAGGUCGCUCGGCCAGUCCGCGCCGCGGCCGAACGUCCACCGCUUCCCGUCUCCUCAACCCGCCGCGCCACACGCGCGUGCCCGACGCACCAGCACGCCCCCACGUCAGAUCGGCCACACCCUACGAUGAACCGCGGGUAUAGACGAAAAGGACUUGAGUGGGCCGGUUGGCCGCAAGCACCGGUGCUGGUCCCCCAGCCGCCACCUACGGCAGCUGUCUCAAACUGAUGCCACAACCACCCCACACCAACCUCCGUUCCCGAACUUACGUCCACCGUCGGCUGUUGCUGGACUGAGGCCGACACGUCCACGAGCUCCACUCGAAGACACAGUUACCUCGGAGUACGAUCAGGAUCACCCCUGCGAGCGGCACCUGACCGUCCUCCCGCCCCUCCAGAGCCCGACGUCCCGUGUAGCCAGUCGAAGUUGCCUCUACUGCCCCUGCCCUACGAAGUCCGCUUUCGGAACACAGCUAGAACAGCCGUUGCUACUGCCGCUGCGGAAGCUCGCGGCAAAGGGAAGAACUUCCGCAGUAGCCCUUCGAUGACAAUGGGAGAAUUAGCACACGGGGCCCGCUUUCGGAGUCUAGGUAGAGACCUAGCCUGCCGCUGCCGCAGAGCUACAGCAAAGAGGGGGAACUCCCGCAACAAAAACCCCCGGUGCCUAGGCGCCAACCGUCGAACUACAGACCUAACCUCACAAACAACCCAACAACCACACGUCCCACCACCGCCACCUUCACUAGACACCGCCGCUGGUUAGGGAACCAGUGGAGCCACGACUACCAACUGGAAUAGAGAACCCCCGAGCACCGCUGCUACUCCAGAGCCACAAGCCACGGGAAGCUGCCGCAGACUCCGAAACAACGGACCGUAUCACGAAACCAAGAGAGAUAAAAACUACCACCGGAACCACACCGGAUCUCCUCCACGUCCCAGACAGAGCCACCUUGUAACGGGAAGCCGUGCCAGGCAUCGAGAGAAACGGCGCUGCACCGAUCCGUCACCCUACGGGAAGCUGUCACCAACGCUGAAGGAUCGAGAAGUUCCACGUCUCACUAGCGUCCCGUCGGCCGUUGAAGAAGAGAUGCAGAAGAGCCACUGCCUAGAGGAAAGCUAACUAAGUUGUUUCGAACGAAGGUGAGAAGAGCAAGGUUGAUCACCACAACCCACGAUUCAAGAACCACAACCGACGAACAGCAUCGAGAAAAGACCAAGAAGAAGACAAGAAAGAACACGGAAGAACACACACAACCAACGAAAGACAACAUGGACUACAGAACAUAGAAAGAGAAUAUAUAUUACUUUUACCAAGUCCGACCGCAUUCGGGCGGCAUCGUGGCAGUUUUUUUCUUGACACGUCUCUUGAAGUCAUGUUCUACGUUUCCCCUUCCCCGCCCUCUCCACCAGAGAAGCCAAAACCCCUGGGAAAAGGACGAAAACCGCCGAAACAUGGUAGACCCUUGGAAUACAGGUCAAAGAAACCACCCAGUUUAGGGAAACUACUAGGGAAGAAGUGGUUAGGGAGACCAAGAUACUAACCUGGAUCGGACAAACUCUUUUCGUAAAAACCAAGUUCGUACAAGGCCGGUGUGCCUCGAGAUUUACAUCCUCCGAAGGUCGUCGUUCCAGGACUUGGUUCGUCCGGUUUUCCCGGCUAAUAACUCCUUAACGGAAGUCUGCUGCUCCUACCACGUCUACGCUUACUUGUACUACUCUUCUUCUCUUGAUUGAGAUACUUUGUAGGUUCCUAAUCGUUUCUCGGUAUACACCUCCUGAGACCACUACUUCAAGUUCUAUUAUUCUCUGGAUCCGUACUCUUUAAACCCUUUCUCAUAUAGUCCCGACCGUGUAGUAUAGUUGUCGGUCUCUGGAUAUACAAAGUCUCGAGUUGACAAUGUAUACCACCAAGUUUACCCCGUACAAUAUACAGAAGUUGCUGAUCCUCCUCACCACCUCUACCCCAAUGUUACCUUCUUUCAUUCCUUCGUCUGUGUUGUUCGCCAUUUCGUUGAGUGUCCUAGCGUGCACCGUAACCGUUAUUCCCAGUACGUGACUGAUCUUUUGACUUGACGCUACCUUUUCAAUUGUGGUACGUUUGAAACGUCUUGAACUCACUUCUACUCGAACGACCCAAACUCCUUAGUACCGUUUCCUUACGUCCCGGAACAGACGGACCAACCCUAGGGUCUAAUUUGUACGAAUUGUCACUAUUUCGCCCCUGAGAAUCUGGACCGUAGGUUCUUCUAUUACCUUACAGACGUGAAGGUUGUGGGUUACUUUACAAACGAGAAGGUCGUGGGCUUGUUAUAGCACCGAGGUAAAGGAGCUCCUACUUCUCCGCGGGAAACUUACCAAGUAGGGUCCCGUCAGGGGCAGGUACUAAAGGAGCCCUUAAAUCCAUCUUGACACAAGGGCCAAACUUCUUUUCCUUCUCCUACUUAGCGAUCGAGUGACGUCGAUAAGUCUUUUGAUACAGAUGCAAAAUGAGUCGAAUCGAAUUUUCCAAGACAACGAUAACAACUACAUAUAACAACAAGGGAAGUCGUACCUACGCGUGCGUUAGUAUUUUUUGCAUUGAAGACAAAUGUUCUUGCUAGUACAAAAGGUGCUGACAACUCAUUGAAACAUUCCGUUCCGACGUAAGGACAUAAAAGACUACAUGAUGAUACAACCGUGAUACCACGUACCCAAGCUACACCUCUAAGUUAUUAGAAGGUUUCGUUAGCGUGGUUAAAUGCCACAUGAUAGAUGAUACGAAUCAUUGGACUAUAAUGUACAGUAAUGUCG